GUCAGCAUGGUACAGUGGUUGGAGCAUUGGACUAUGACUCUGGAGAUUAGGGUUCAAGUCCUUGUUCAGCCA